rnacentral:rRNA from 1 species
UGGGGAAUUUUCCGCAAUGGGCGAAAGCCUGACGGAGCAAUACCGCGUGAGGGAGGAAUGCCUUUGGGUUGUAAAUCUCUUUUCUCAGGGAAGAAGAUCUGACGGUACCUGAGGAAUAAGUAUCGGCUAACUCCGUGCCAGCAGCCGCGGUAAUACGGAGGAUGCAAGCGUUAUCCGGAAUCAUUGGGCGUAAAGCGUCCGCAGGUGGUUUCCAAAGUCUGCUGUUAAAGACUGGAGCUCAACUCCGGAACGGCGGUGGAAACUUGGAAACUAGAGUUCGGUAGGGGUAGCAGGAAUUCCCAGUGUAGCGGUGAAAUGCGUAGAUAUUGGGAAGAACAUCAGUGGCGAAGGCGUGCUACUGGACCGUAACUGACACUCAGGGACGAAAGCUAGGGGAGCGAAAGGGAUUAGAUACCCCUGUAGUCCUAGCUGUAAACGAUGGAAACUAGGUGUGGCUUGA